UUAUAAUCGAAUUGCGGGGCAUGUGGCCUAGUUGUGGCAACGCAAUAUUAAUCGAUUGCGAUUGUUAAGCAACGUUGACUCAUGUCGGUGACUGGAUGGGUGACCGACUUUGGA